AGAUAUCCACUCGAGUUUGAUCUAGAAUAUUUUUUUCUUGAUCAAUCUGCCUACUCCUAGGUAGAUUGCAAGCUCCUUGAUCAAAUUCAAAUCUGAUCUCCGAUAGGACUCCGAUCAGCCUCUGAUCAUAGCCUUUUCGACUCUUCGCAUAGAACUGAUGGUGUUCAACAUCUUGAACCCACUAGAUGGCUCGUCCAACACCCUUGGAUAUGGAAGAGGGAUAUAUAUCAGAGAUAGAAGAAGGAGGAGGCAUGAAAAGGAGGAAGGGAGGCAUGAAAAAUGAUCUAUGUGCUAUAACCACUUUGGUCGAUCAAAAAGAAUCCCUUUUUAUAGGAAUCAGAUCAGAUUAGACGUCUUAAAAUAGAAGGACUCUCCUAGGUCCACCCCAAUCUAUUUUCUCCAUUGUUUUGUCACACAAAACCAAUGAGAAAUUUAGAUUGACAUGGAGAUAAGAUAAGGUUGUCGUCGUCUCAUUCCAAUCCACCUUCGAUUCAAAUUCAAACAGUUUAAAUUCAAAGUUGAAUUCUAAUUUGAAUUUGAAUUCAAAAGAGAUCAAAUCUCUUAUCCUCAUCUACUAGUGGAUGAGGCUUAUCCCUCUCUUUCUUCCUUAUCUGAUUUGGAUGACACACAUAUGGAUCCAAUCCAUGUGGGUGUGCCCCAUCACUUGGCUGAACAACAUUGGGUGACACCAACAUUUGGCACCCCCACAAACCUAACCUAAUUAGAUCAAAUUCGAACUUGGAUGAAGCAAUAUUUGAAACCCAAUUGGAGCUUGCACCAAAUUGAUUAAAUCCUGUCUAAUAGAAUUCAAAAUUAAGGAGGAGAA
rnacentral:lncRNA from 1 species